UAGGUCGUUUUUGGUCAUUAAACUUUUCUGACUGUGCUAUUGUGGUCAUUAUACUUUAUAUAAGCUCUAAAUGGUCAGUGAACUUUAUGUUUUUUUUCGUUAUGGUCACCGUAACCGGUAACAGCCCAAAACUUGAUGAUGUGGUUAAUUUAGUCCCAAAUUGGCAUAACAUGUCAUCAUCCUAGCUGGCAUUACAUGUCAACAUCGAAUUAGGGCGUUCUAUUAUAAAGAUAUGAACAUCGACGCUCAAAUAUCCUCUCAAAUAUACCUCCCCAUGUUUGCAUCUUCUUCUACGGGCUCCAAUCUGGGGGAUUGAUACUCCUCCAAGGAAGGAGGGACGUGUUCUUGUAGGAAGCAAUAAAAAAGACGAACAAGCUAGACCAAUGAGAUUCCAGGUAGGAGAUUUGAUGUUUGCCCUAAUUCUUUGACAUCAGAGCCAAGCUGCAAAAUUUUUGAGUGGGUUGAUCGGGAGUUGUCAGCCUGGUAUCGUUGACUUCUAUAUAAAGUUCAUAGAAAGCUCUUGCUCAAGAGGAAACGAUAAAGAAACAAGAACUAAUGCUUGAAGAAAUGGAGAAAGAGGUCAGAAGAUACAAGUUAAAAUUGCAGAAAUAUAAAAAGAAGACUAAAGAGUUUGAGAUUCAGUUGUUUGUGCAGAAGUCUAGGAUAUGAAAAGUUAGUUGGUAUGUUAUGGGUUUUGUCAUUGUAGGUGUAUUGAUGUUAUGUGUCAAGUAAAAUGUUGAUGUCCUGUGUCAAUUUAAUAGUGUAUGUGUACUAGUUUAGAAAAAGUAUGUAUCUUGAUGUUGUUGUUUGAAUAAAUUUGUUUCAAGUAA